GAUGAACGCUGGCGGCGGGCCUAAUACAUGCAAGUCGAGCGAACGGACGAGAAGCUUGCUUUUCUGAUGUUAGCGGCGGACGGGUGAGUAACACGUGGAUAACCUACCUAUAAGACUGGGAUAAUUUCGGGAAACCGGAGCUAAUACCGGAUAAUAUUUUGAACCGCAUGGUUCAAAAGUGAAAGACGGUCUUGCUGUCACUUAUAGAUGGAUCCGCGCUGCAUUAGCUAGUUGGUAAGGUAACGGCUUACCAAGGCAACGAUGCAUAGCCGACCUGAGAGGGUGAUCGGCCACACUGGAACUGAGACACGGUCCAGACUCCUACGGGAGGCAGCAGUAGGGAAUCUUCCGCAAUGGGCGAAAGCCUGACGGAGCAACACCGCGUGAGUGAUGAAGGUCUUAGGAUCGUAAAACUCUGUUAUUAGGAAAGAACAUAUGUGUAAGUAACUGUGCACAUCUUGACGGUACCUAAUCAGAAAGCCACGGCUAACUACGUG
rnacentral:rRNA from 1 species